GGAAAUGAUUGUAGCUUAGUGGUAGAGCAUCUGCUAUUCAUGAAGAAGGCCCUAAGUUUGAUUCCUGGCAUCUUCA